AUGAGGGGCGAUAAGACCGACAAAAGGGAAAAGUGCGAUGGCUAAAGUUAGGAUCUACUGAAGCGUCAAAGGCCGAGUACUAUUAGAUCGGAUGUGUUGCCAACAACUUACAGCUGCAGGAGAGACUGGUGCACUUCACAAAAUAGAUGGCAUCAUGAGGAUACUCCUGCAAACUUCUGACCAAGAACAUGGGCAUGCUGGUGAUGAACGAAGACACACUUGACGCAACAAGGGAGACCCUCAGCCACCACUGUGGAAUGCUGGGAGACGCCCUUCACAAGGAGAACGAUUUUGCCCUCAUCAUCGACGGAAGGACUCUCAAAUACGCCCUUACGUUUGGAGCACGGCAGUACUUACUAGACCUUGCCUUGUCCUGUAAAGCA